GUUUUUAACGGUUGAAAAUUUUUCUUCCCGUUUUACCCUGAUAAUUAUUUGUUAAUUCUUGUUUUACCUUUAACCAAAAUUUGUUUUUCUUAUACCUAACCCUGUUAUUCUUUCUUUGUCGCCGCUUGCUUCUCCUCUUCUCCUCUGCUUCUGCUUCCGUAUUCUGCUCCUACUUCUGCUUCUUCUUGUUGCGAAAAGCUGUUUUUGCUUCUAUUUGCUUAUCCUCCUACCCUUAUUCUGCUUAUGUUUGUUGCGCGAGUCACCACUGGUGUUAACUUACUUCACUAAACACAACAAUAAUCAAGGUAUGUACUGAUUAAUUUUUUUUUUUUUUUAACGAAAAUGGCUUUAUAAUUAUUUUAAAAUGUGUCUACUUGAUCAAUGAAGCAUGAUUUUGUACCCAGUUUGUUACCUAGCCUAUUCAGUCUUUUGCUUAAAAAUCCGUAUUGAGACUUUUUGCUGGGAACGGAGUGCAUGUAUUUGAGAGAGGAAAUGAUUAAAGUAGUUUCAGAAUGUCGACCAUUAAAGCAGUUUUCCAACUAGUUUAUAGCCAUUUCUCCCUCACUCUCCUCUCUCUCUCUCUUUCUCUGCUCAUAUUGUUCCAAUCUGAAUCAACUUUGCCUCUUCUAUUUGAGAGGGGAAAUGAUAUUUCUCCUGUUAGCUUGGUAUUCCAUGUCACUAUUGGAUAUUGUGGAUGUUGGGAAUUUUUUGUGAGGAUUUACACAUUUUAGUAUUUCACGAUAUUCACAUCUCAAAAAAAUAUGAAAGGUGUAACAAAUGCUCAGUAAAGUGGAAACAAAGAUGCUGAUAUGUGUGCAUGCAUGUGUAUAAUGAAUCAGUAUGCAUAAAAAAUUAAAGAGUUAUACAGAAGGGAGAAAGUUACUCCCUUGAUAUAUAGUUCAUAAACUUGACCAGAAAAGAAAAGGAAAAAAAAAAGAAAUAAGAAGAGCAGAGAAGCAGUAAUGAGAUGAUUUAAAAUUAGGGGUGGAAGUGGCGGUUGUUGCUGCUGGAAUCCUCAUUUUCUCUAUCAACCACAUCUUUAACCAAUUUAGGUGUUUAGCUCUACAAUUUAGGUGUAUUUAGCUCUACAAUAAGAAGCCGGAUGCAGAAAUUUGACCAGUAUAUCUAAGUUUGAUUGGUUCAUCACUUCCAAAAUCAAUUCAUCACUUCCACUAUCACUUCCAGCCCCACUCUCAAGUGGUUGAAACCAGUUCUCAAGCUUUAGCAAAUACACUCUUUAUGCUUUCAAGAUUCAUUUUGUCAGAUCUCCAAUUUGAACUCGUCACAUAUCAAGGCUAGUUGCUUUUAGAAAUAGAAAACAAAAAAAAAAAACAAUAAGUUUUGUAAUAAGUUGUGGAACUCGUUGUGCAGGAGUGAGGGCUAAUUGGCACACAAAGUCUGUAAAUCUUUAGUGCUUGUUUGUGAGUUUAUAUUUCAUUGCUCAGGAGGAGUUAGAACUAGUUGACACACAAAAUUAAGGAAUUUUCAGAAAUUGUUGCUCAAGAUAGUGAAGGUUAGUUGUUUAACAAAAGUUGCGAAUGUUUAGAAUUCAUUGUUUAACAGGGUGAAAGUCAGUUGCCACAUAAAAUUUGAGAACUUCCAGAGCUAGUUGCUCAAGGUACGAGGGUUAGUUAUCUUGUAAAAGUUAAGAACCCUUUAACUUCAUUCGACUAAGAGUUGAUCUCAUAGACGUUUUGAUUUAUUCAAACCUUGGUUCAAGCUCACUACAAGGGGUGGUUUGUCUAAUUCAUCAAGUUCCAAAUUUUUAGUUUUUGUUUUAGCUUUUCAUUUAAUUUAGUUUACUUGUAAGGUCAGCAAAACAACAUCAACAAGUAGCAAAACAAGAAAAAGGCCCCAAAGAUUAAACAGUUAACUGAAGAUUAUAUGUUAGAAGCCCAUUCCAAUAUUUUCUUAUUUAAACUUUAAAGCUAAAACAAAAGUGUACAUGUAAAGUAGAAAAUGAGAGUAGAACUCUAAGGAACAAAAUUUGUAACCCCAAAAACAAGUAAAAUGGAAAAAAAGGAAAACUAGAUUAAGAAACCCAACUGCCAGCAAGCCAAAAAGAACAUAAACAGGAAAAAAAAGACCUGUUAAAGAGACAGAGAUCGACAGAAUGUCAGUUCUUCUUUUCCUCUACUGUUUUCUUCUUAGCUGUUGCUUGUGAAUACAGGAAAGUUCCAAAUAUGGCAAUAGCUAAUCCAAGUGCAUUCAAAGGCCUAGCAAGGUUCCUAAAAACUAAAACAGUUGAUACAAUCACCACCACCCUCUUAAUAGUGUUCCCAACUGAAAAUGUUAAAGGACUAAUUUCAUCAAGCGCCUGGUAAGAUUAUUGGUUAUAUAGAUGGUAAAAUAUCCCAGACAGCAGCACCCAUAAAUAAAAAGUGGAUGAUUUUUCUACUGAUUUAAUUACUUUAUGAUACCCCUAAAUCCAUUGUGACCCUUCAACAAAAACUGCAACUGAAAACAGGUUAAGCAAUGAGAUUAUACUGAUCCAAUCAUACAAGUUCAAUCCAUUAACUUCCUUGAAAUUCUGCAAACUCCUCUUGGAAUAAAUGUUCCUUAAAACAAACCCCACAUUACUAAUCAAUGCACCCCACAAGCCUUAAAAAUUGAAGGACACUUCAGUAAUUGCAGCUAGAGAGCAACGUAGGAGUGAGAGAGAGACAUAUUAAAAAAUUAUGCGUACAUAUAUAUUUAAUAAACAAAGAUUAUUGGGGGUAGUAGGUAGCGGUGGAAUGUAAUGGAAGAUCCUUGGCAAUCUCCAUUGAAAAAAUUUGUUCCUUGUUUAAUACUUGUGAAACAUGGAUUGGUUAGUAGCAUUACUUUCUUUUUUGUGUUAUUUUUAUGGCUAUACUUUUCUCCUAAUUUCAUGCCACCCAAUCAUUCACUAAACUCUCUCAUACUCUGCAACACUUCACCUCAUCAAGAUGUCAUAUAAAUAUAAGAGUCUGCAGCCUUUUUAAUGACAGAGAGAGAUCCUACAUUUAUUUAUUCUCUCCAUUUCACGCGUGGCAAGCAACUUUCAUUGCUUUUUGCAUGGAAUGAAAAAUUUGAAAAAAUUUUAUUUGGAAAAAUUUAGCCAUAGGCAUAAAUUUAUUCUCUCAUAAUUUUGCCAUAUGUAUAAAUUUUACUUGAAAAAAUUUGAUUCACUACUAAUUAAAGAAUUUAGAAUAUGAUUUGCUUUAACUGUUAAAAGUAAAUAAGCCUCUUACUCUUGUUUUCUGUUAAAACUUAUUCUUAUUUUAUGUUUUCUCAUAAGGUAAGAAAAAUGGAUCUUACAAAACAUGUAGCUAUUUUAGUGGGGUAUUUUGUCAUGCUUGUUGCGAUUUAUAUUCAUAAAAGGAGAAAGCUUCAACUUACUAAGGAAUUACGACUAGAGAGAGAGAAAGUUCGAGAUAAGCUGAUGAAAAACUUGGUCUCAAGUGAGUUUUGUCGAUAUAUCAUCAGGAUAAGAGCUCAAACCUUUAUGAAUUUAUGUCGUUUGCUAGUUAUAAAUGGAACAAGUUGCCAAGACCCUUUACCUAUUAGGACACAAUGAGAGAAAUCGAGUUCCAUCUUGGUAUUUUUGACAAUCCAGCAAGAUGACAAGUCACAAUUUUCAUACUGUGCUAUAAUGUAUAGUACAAAUAGUAGAUAAAUUUCUUAUUCAGUCAUAUGGAUUACAAGUGCAUUCGGAAAUAACCAACAAUCUUAGAUUCUUUCCAUAUUUUAAGAUAAAUAUAUAAGUUAUUUAAUUUAUAAUUUUUCAUAACUUCUAAGUUUGAUUACUUUUUUUUAAAUAAGUAUAAGUUUAACUAAUUAGAGAAUAAUUAAUUUCAGGAUUGUGUUGGUGCAAUUAAUGGAACGCAUAUACGUGUGAAAGUGUAUAAAAGUGAUGCCCUAAGGUUUCGUGGGAGAAAAGAUUACCCCACAAAAAAUUUAUUACAGCUUGUACAUUCGAUUUGGAAUUCUCAUACGUUCUAGUCGGGUGGGAGGGGACCGUAUCAGAUUCAAGAAUAUUAAAGGAUGCAUUAAACAGACUUAGGGAUCCUUUAGUUAUUCCCGAAGAUAAUUAAAAUAUAUUGAAUUUGAAUGUAUAAUGUACAAGUCCAAAGAAAAAGUUAUAACUCAAAUUAUUUAUUAUUUAUAGGUAAAUUCUAACUUGAGAAUGCUGGUUUCACGUUGCGGGUUGGAAUAAUUACUUCAUAUAGGGGAGAACGGUACCAUUUGAGUGAAUAUUCAAGAAAUCCAGCACGCAAUGUACGUGAGCUAUUUAAUCUUCGUCAUGUUUUAUGUAAUGCAAUUGAACGUGCUUUUGGAGUUCUUAAGAAAUGUUUUCCAAUUAUUCUAAGCUCUACUGAACCUCAUUAUCGUAUCAAGCCUCUUAAUCGCAUUAUAUUUGCUUGUUGCAUUUUGCACAACUACUUACAGGUAAAGAAGCCAAAUGAUGAACUUUUAGUAGAGGUUGAUGAAGUUCAGCACGUUUAUCAUGAUGAACCAAGUCAAUCUAACGUUAGGGAUAAUAUUGAAGAAACAAGGAGGGGGGAAGCUGUAACGGCCCCGGAAUUUUAAAAUGAAUUGUAUAUUAAAAAUAUCAAAUGCGGAAGCGAAGUCAAAAAUUGGAUUAACAUCCCUUACACUAAAACCCAAAAACGUACUUACAAAAUAUAAAAGAUCAAC
rnacentral:lncRNA from 1 species